rnacentral:rRNA from 1 species
UACGGGAGGGUGCGAGCGUUGUCCGGAAUUAUUGGGCGUAAAGGGCGCGUAGGCGGCUUGGCAAGUGGAAGGUGAAACUCCCUCGGCUUAACCGAGGAACUGCCUUCCAGACUGCUUUGCUUGAGGCCGGGAGGAGGCGAGUGGAAUUCCCAGUGUAGCGGUGAAAUGCGUAGAUAUUGGGAGGAACACCAGUGGCGAAGGCGGACUCGGCUGGACCGGUUCGUGACGCUGAGGCGCGAAAGCGUGGGGAGCAAACGGG